GUCUCCUAAACAGCUGGAAUUACAGGUGUAUGCUACUGUGCCUGGAUUAAUUAAUUCAUUUAUUCAUAAACAACCCUACAAGGGGAACACUAUUUUAUCAACCCUAUGAUACAGAGAGGGAAUUCGGGUACAGAAAAGAUUGGAACCACGUUUAACAGACUUGGCAGAAAGACGAUCAGUUGCAAAGUGAACUGAAGGUUGCAAAUCUAUCAGAACAGAGGCACAAUAAAACCAGCCAGAAGGCACGUGUUUGUGUUCCAGCUCCACCAGGAAUAAAUGUCUGACCUUGGGCGAGUUGCUUUUUUCUCUGAUACCAGUUUCCAGGACAAGCCUGCACACCUGUGCUCAGUUCAUCUGUGUGGUGGAGACCCUUUCUGGCAAGCUGGAAACCUGCUUUUGGUUUUAUAAAAGGAUCAGAAUCUACCUUUCACCAUGUAGAAGAUGGAGGUGUUACAAAUAGAACUUCAGACUAUAACCACACAAAUGGAGUCCCUGAGAGGUUGCGGUCUUGCUAGUCUUUAGAGCAAUAAUGUUCAAUAGUUGCUGAGUAAAUUUUAGACUUUCAAGAGUUUACAUUUAGCUGUUUGAUAAAAUCUGAACUUUGUCCCCAGGAA